AGUAACACGUGGAUAACCUACCUAUAAGACUGGGAUAACUUCGGGAAACCGGAGCUAAUACCGGAUAAUAUUUUGAACCGCAUGGUUCAAAAGUGAAAGACGGUCUUGCUGUCACUUAUAGAUGGAUCCGCGCUGCAUUAGCUGGUUGGUAAGGUAACGGCUUACCAAGGCAACGAUGCAUAGCCGACCUGAGAGGGUGAUCGGCCACACUGGAACUGAGACACGGUCCAG
rnacentral:rRNA from 1 species